rnacentral:rRNA from 1 species
GAUGAACGCUGGCGGCGUGCUUAACACAUGCAAGUCGAACGGAAAGGCCAGUGCUUGCACUGGUACUCGAGUGGCGAACGGGUGAGUAACACGUGGGUGAUCUGCCCUGUACUUCGGGAUAAGCUUGGGAAACUGGGUCUAAUACCGGAUAGGACAACUUUUUGGAGAUUGUUGUGGAAAGCUUUUGCGGUAUGGGAUGAGCUCGCGGCCUAUCAGCUUGUUGGUGGGGUAAUGGCCUACCAAGGCGUCGACGGGUAGCCGGCCUGAGAGGGAGUACGGCCACAUUGGGACUGAGAUACGGCCCAGACUCCUACGGGGGGCAGCAGUGGGGAAUAUUGCACAAUGGGCGCAAGCCUGAUGCAGCGACGCCGCGUGGGGGAUGAAGGCCUUCGGGUUGUAAACUCCUUUCGCUAGGGACGAAGCGCAAGUGACGGUACCUGGAGAAGAAGCACCGGCUAACUACGUG